UACGAAGGGUGCAAGCGUUACUCGGAAUUACUGGGCGUAAAGCGUGCGUAGGCGGUUCGUUAAGUCUGACGUGAAAUCCCCGGGCUCAACCUGGGACGUGCGUUGGAAACUGGCGAUCUAGAGUACGGUAGAGGGUGGUGGAAUUCCCGGUGUAGCAGUGAAAUGCGUAGAGAUCGGGAGGAACACUCGUGGCGAAGGCGGCCACCUGGACCAGUACUGACGCGGAGGAACGAAAGCGUGGGGAGCAAACAGG
rnacentral:rRNA from 1 species